rnacentral:rRNA from 1 species
ACGGUCACAUUACAUUGAAACACCGGUUCCCGUACAAUCAGUGAAGUUAAGCAACGUCGAGCCUUGGCUGUACCUAGAUGGGUGACGACCGCUUGGGAAUACUAA